rnacentral:rRNA from 1 species
AUUGAACGCUGGCGGCAUGCCUUACACAUGCAAGUCGAACGGCAGCACGGGAGCAAUCCUGGUGGCGAGUGGCGAACGGGUGAGUAAAGUAUCGGAACGUGCCCAGUCGUGGGGGAUAACGUAGCGAAAGUUACGCUAAUACCGCAUACGAUCUAUGGAUGAAAGCGGGGGAUCGCAAGACCUCGCGCGAUUGGAGCGGCCGAUAUCAGAUUAGGUAGUUGGUGGGGUAAAGGCUCACCAAGCCGACGAUCUGUAGCUGGUCUGAGAGGACGACCAGCCACACUGGGAUUGAGACAAGGCCCAGACUCCUACGGGAGGCAGCAGUGGGGAAUUUUGGACAAUGGGCGAAAGCCUGAUCCAGCCAUGCCGCGUGCAGGAUGAAGGCCUUCGGGUUGUAAACUGCUUUUGUACGGAACGAAAAGGUUUGGCCUAAUAAGCUGAGCUCAUGACGGUACCGUAAGAAUAAGCACCGGCUAACUACGUGCCAGCCGCCGCGGUAA